ACUCUCAAAGUACGUUGGCUGAUUGCUAGAAGAAACCAGCACCUUGUUGGUGCUCCACGAGUCAUAUGGACUGCCCACAUGGCUUUGGUUCAGCGGACUAUAGUCAACGAACGCAUCAUUCCCAUACACACAUAAAACGCAUCAGCCGCCCUGCACUCAUUACGCGUGUCCGGCGGCCCCCUGCACCGCUGUCUUCACAUGACCUUAUCCUCUCGCUCAGUCGUCUUCCCCAAUCCCCCUCCCAUCGUGUUGCCAUGUCCUUGCGUUGUUUGCCACAAUUUAUCUCACUCAUUGCCACUCCUCCACAGCACUGCGCCUAAUAGGCUCCCCUCUCUUCUUGCCCUUUCUUGCCCCAGCCGCUGGAGCUCGACAUGCCCUGCUGCGAGGCGACGGCAUCAUGGUUGCGGGGCGAUGGCAGCUUCCGGCGACGCGCUGCUCUCCCUUCUCUAUCCAGAAAGCCCACAAACGGCUUGCCGUCGCCCCGCCACGCCUAGAGUGCGCGACCAGAGCCAGCAGCAUCGCCACCAGGAAUGAGCGCCACGGAGGCCAAGCUUUCGACCCGGCAAAUCCACUGCUGCUCCGCCGCAUCGUCGGCUAGGCCGCCGCGCCACCAUCGGAGCGUCAUGGCCGCGGGCACCUUCAUCCGUUGCCACACGCCGCCUGGGCUUGCCCACGUUCCGAUCCAGCCGGCAAACGGACGGAUCCGUUUCCCCCUUGUCCGUCCCAGGCCUUUCUACCUCGCUGGAGUCGUCAAGGCGCCGACACUCUCCACCAAGCCAACUGCAUCGCGCCCCUGCUCCGUCUCGGGAGGAGCAGCGAGCCAGCGCCCGCCUCUGCAUCGAGCACUGCUCAAUCCGACCGCAUCGCCCAAGGCCCACUCCGCCGUUGCUGCCUUGCUCCGCCCUCGCAGUCCUCCCGCCGGUGAGCAGCACCUGUAGCACGUCGCCCCGUCUCUCUUAUUUCUUCUCCUUCCUCUCACCUUUACUCAAAGCUCUCUCCCGCUGCACACCACAUGAGGUCGCCGCCGACAUGAACACCGAAGAGGAGGCAGGCGGCCUGAGGGGAGAUCGCCGGCGUGGCCCUCGUCGGCGGCAGUCUCCGGCGGGAGGCUCGGAAUCGGGCGGUCGGGCGCAGUCGUCUUUGGUGGGUGGCGGCGCACAGGGGAAAUUGGAAGUGGAUCACCUAGCAAACUGUUGGAAAUAUGCCCUAGAGACAUUAAUAAAUAAGUUAUCAUUAUUAUAUUUCUUUAUUCAUGAUAAUCGUUUAUUAUCCA